rnacentral:rRNA from 1 species
UACGUAGGCAGCAAGCGUUGUUCGGAAUUACUGGGCGUAAAGAGUGUGUAGGCGGUGCUCCAAGUCUGGUGUGAAAUCUCCCGGCUUAACUGGGAGGGUGCAUUAGAAACUGGAAUGCUAGAGGAUGGGAGAGGUAAGCGGAAUUCCUGGUGUAGCGGUGAAAUGCGUAGAUAUCAGGAGGAACACCUGUGGUGUAGACAGCUUACUGGACCAUUUCUGACGCUGAGACACGAAAGCGUGGGCAGCAAACAGG